rnacentral:misc_RNA from 1 species
GAAUUGACGGUGAAGACCCUCUUGAACAAAGGGCUGAAGAAAAGCUACGAGCUAGGGCCUGGGAAGGUUAUAUCAGGAAUUGUGAAGAGGAUGGAUAGGGGUGCUAGCAUUGAGAACAUCGGUGCAUGAGAGCCACCUAAUAAUGCAACUGCAGUAGGUUCCCUUGUGGGAUUUCGUUUUUAGAUGGAGUUUAAACCUUCGUUGUUCGCUUUGACGAUGGAUUCAAAGUUCAAAAUUGAUGGUUCAAUCUAGGAGACUCAAUUCUCAUGCCAACCUCGGAGAGGGAUUGAGUUAUGGUAGUACAGUUAUUGUGGAGACACCU